UACGGAGGAUGCACGCGUUAUCCGGAAUUAUUGGGCGUAAAGCGUCCGUAGGUGGUUAAGUAAGUCUGCUGUUAAAGCGUGGAGCUUAACUCCAUAUCGGCAGUGGAAACUACUUGACUUGAGUGCGGUAGGGGUCAGGGGAAUUCCCAGUGUAGCAGUGAAAUGCGUAGAUAUUGGGAAGAACACCGGUGGCGAAAGCGCCUGACUGGGCCUGCACUGACACUGAGGGACGAAAGCUAGGGGAGCGAAAGGG
rnacentral:rRNA from 1 species